UGGAUUCAAACGACAUGCUUUACGAAGCGCUACAAAAUGUGUGUCACAUAGGAAGCAUGGCUAACAGCUUAGUUCAAGCGAUUACAGAAGAUGAGAAUAAAAAGCAAUUUGUAAUGGCAUGUAUUGUUUCAGAACAAGAACUUGUCUUUAAAGAUUUCUCGUUUAUGGAAAAUUUCAAAAAGUACAUACAUGUGUUGGCUACUGAACAAGUCGAUCAGAUACCAAUAUCCGAUGGUUAUUUUAUGAAAGGAAGAUCAAUUUAUUUGCGGAACAAUUGUAACCAUGGGGAAGCCAGACUUUUAGAUCCAGACGGCGAAAUUCGCCGAGAAAUCACAUGUAACCCACAUACAGUUGUUGAUGAUGGCAAUAACUUUUUACAUGACAUGGAGUUAUCAUUUCGGGAACAAUUUGGUGAUUCUACGAGACCAUACCUGCUGAUUUACAGCCACUAUGUGCCAUGUACUAUACCUUUACACUUUUGUGCCGGGCUUCUUAAACAGUUUGUAAAAAAAACGGGUUAUAAUGUAUUGGUGGGAUACACGGAUGUUUUUUUCCAAAGCAAUCGUGAACAUGCAUUAUCAACUCUUCGGAAAUCUGGAAUACAGGUUAGACAUAUACCCCGGGAACAGGGGACUACUGAAAUGUGUUGCUUGUUCAAAUACGUGAUUACGCUUCAAAAAUCUAAACAAAAAAUGGAGAAGGAGAAUGGCAUUCUAUCCCUUCUAUCUUAUCAUGUAUUGAGUGCAAAUCAACCAAGGACAAAACGUAUAGGGAUAUAUUGAUAAUUUAUUGUUUAUACAUACAUUUCUGCUUUGUUCAUGAUUCAUUCGAAUGAUUAAUCAAAACAAAACUCACCUCGGAAAAGUGGAUUGUUUCUUCAAACAUCAUACGACGGACACGAACGAUUUGUGAGAGUUACAUAACAGAAAUUGACAGACAAGAUUACAUGGACAAUCGGGUAAAUGAGGCAAGAGACGAUGAUAAAGAUGAAUGAUCAUUUAUGUGGCCCAUCCCCAACCCCUCCCACCUCCAGUGAGUCGGAAAAGCAGUUGUGAACGAAAAAGUGCACGUGCAACAAACUAAACAAGCUGAACGCACAAUUGACCGCAGCAUAUUAUAUAGAGGCGAUCGGAAUGGUCGGGAAUAUAGCAGCUUGCCAUGAAAGUGUGUUCGAGUCCUUCCGAUUGUAUCAAGAAAAUUCUGGCCAGGAUGUAUCGGUAGAGAUCGACAGUUGUACAUUUUGGAUUCAUUAUGUUGAACUAAUGAUUCAUUUAUGAUGAAUUAUCUACGUUAUGGCUUUGUUUUCUGUACUGUUUAAAAUGAUGUUGAACCCUGAUACAUGUAGUAAGGUCCGAUCCGUAUGAGGCAUUUAAUCAUACAAAUACAACUUAGAUCGUAAAAGUAUGCAUGGUACAUUUAACUUCUUUAUUUAAAAUACACGGUUUCAUGUAUACGACUUUGUUAAAUUUUUUAAAUAAAAAAUAUGUUUUUUUACAUGUCAGGUUUUUAAAUCAUAUUCCAUAAUUGCCAAUGAAAUUCAUCUUAAAAUCAGCAUCUGUAUACGCAAUACUUCAGACUACUGCAUAGAGACUUGAACUAGAAGCAGCAGAUAACACAAGUCUGAAAAGAUACCGUUUCGAAACACAAAAUGCAAACACUGUAACGUUCCUCAGAACGAAUUUCAUAGUAUACUUGAAGCCCUAAAUUUAAUUAAUUACGUAAAUCUUAUUGUACGAAUACAAACAUGACCAAGAGUAUUUACCCGUUACGGGCUGACAUUUAAACACUGUACGCAAUAUAUCAAUUUUUGUUUUUAAAGCUUUUAAACUGAGAGCUGACAUAUAACAAAAGUUUUUGUACUUGUAUUUAUUUAUCCAUCUACUAUAUAUGAAAAAAAUCUUAAUACCAUCUGUGAAUAUAUUGUCUUGUAAUAUGUGUGUACGCAUGGGCUUAAAACCUAAUAUUAUGUUGAAAUAAACGCUAAACUCUGAAAGACAGUCGGUGAUCACUUUGUGGAAUAUAUGUGAUUUGUUUAUACAUUUACAUCCUGAAGCUCAUAUGAAAGGACGUGACGCCUGUCUGUCUGUCGUUUUGAUAAUUGCUAAUUAAUUGUUGUGUUGUCAAGUAAUUGUGGUUUUGACUACAUUAAUAAUUUCAUGUAAAACGACAAAACAAAAAUGUUGAGGUACCUCAGUGUUUGUAAAUUAUUAUAUUUAUUUACGUAAUAUAAAUAUAUUCAUAAUUUUCUUAGCAUAUGUCGUCAUUAAGAAAUAU